GCAGAUUAAAGUUCUAAGGAAAAGCUUGGGUGAAUUUGUAACAAAGAACGAACUACACGACGCUCUGGAAAUUGUCAAGAAAGAAAUCAAGGACUGGAAAGUGGCUACCAACAGCCGGCUGGAAAACAUAGAAAAGGCUAUGUCAGAGUCACAGCAAUUAUCUUGUGACGUGAAGCAAGAUCUAAAGUUCAACCCAGUCUCUGAUCGGAUGAAGGAAGAAUUUGUCGGUCGAGAGUGGUUGUUCAGUGACAUUGAAAACUGGUUGGAAAAAGACCUCGGGCCUCGGGAGUCUCGUGCCUUCCUUAUCUGGGGUGGUGCUGGAACAGGCAAAAGCUCGUUCGCCCAAGAGUUUGUCCGUCGGCACGAGGGAGAGAAAUUGGCUGCAUACCAUUACUGUCAAAAAGAUAAUCCUCGCACCUGCGAUUUGAAAUCGUUAGUCGAUAGUCUCAGCAGUAUGCUCUCGAAGACUCUUCCCGAAUAUGCCCCCCCGACUCAAAAAGUACAGACUGAACAAUUUCGAGAUGAUCCUAACGCACUGUUCGAUUCGUUAAUUACCACGCCAUUGCAGCAAUUGAAUGAAACUACC
rnacentral:lncRNA from 1 species